UUGAUGCAUUAUUUGCACCAGUCUUCACUGUUGCAAGGUAAACCUUGCAAUUCCUUUUCCAAUGACCUGCCUUGCCGCAGUGAAAGCAGGUCGACUGUCCGGAGGUCUUCUUUCCUUUCUUCUUCUUAUUUAUGCCACCUUUAGGGUUCAGCCUCCUUUUAGAACCCUUUUUGCCUGCCUUCUUCUUGGAGAUCCCAUCCACAAGAAGAAGAGGAGCCUUAUCCUUCU
rnacentral:lncRNA from 1 species